UACGUAGGGUGCAAGCAUUAAUCGGAUUUAUUGGGCGUAAAGGGCGCGUAGGCGGGGAUAUAAGUCAGAUGUGAAAUCCCGGAGCUCAACUCCGGAACUGCAUUUGAAACUGUAACUCUAGAGGGUAGGCGGGGAAAAUGGAAUUCCACAAGUAGCGGUGAAAUGCGUAGAUAUGUGGAAGAACACCGGUGGCGAAGGCGAUUUUCUAGCUUACACCUGACGCUAAUGCGCGAAAGCAAGGGGAUCAAACAGG
rnacentral:rRNA from 1 species